AUUCAGUGGCCCUUUCUCUUUCUGGGCUCUGGACCAGCUCUUUCCUCCCUCAGUCCCUCCCCCUAUCUUUCUCUGUUGCAGGCAUUGACACUCACAGCACGCAGAGUGCUGGCAGCCAAGUGCUUAUUAUUUAUUCAUUGGAAGUACAUCAGCUGGUCCCUCCUCCAUCUGCCUGGAGGAAGCAGGUCAAGAGGUGCCAAUUAAUGCCCUAUAUAUCCCAGGGGUGGAUUCACUGGCCACAGAGAUGCCCACUUGCAGAAAGCAGAAAGAGAACUUUCUUUUUUAGAUAGAAGAGUGGCCCUGAAAUAUCCAUAGAUGAAUGCAACAGAGAUUUGCUGACGAGAGGAUAAGAUGUAACAAUGGAAAUGGAGGAAAAUAUAGAAAUAUGACAACAGAAGCAGGGACCACAAACCAAGAUUCCAGUCUAAAGGCUGCACCUCCUACGAGACUGCCACCCACUCUCCACCUACUGAAGAUGCCAGUGGCAAGCCCAAGCAACCAACUACAGACUGGAGCUUUCACAGGCUUGUUUAAUCUGCUGGAGUGAACUUUAGAUGCGAGUCACAAGUCCAGAUUGUUACCUAUGCUUCUCAUCAACUGGCUAUAAACUGGAAGUUGCCACAACCCUGUUUUUGAGUUCUAUUAGUUUGGUAGGGCAGUUCAUGCAUGUGUGCGUGCUAAGUUGCUUCAGUUAUAUCUGACUCUUUGUGACCCCAAGGACUGUAGCCC